rnacentral:rRNA from 2 species
UGGAGAGUUUGAUCCUGGCUCAGGACGAACGCUGGCGGCGUGCCUAACACAUGCAAGUCGAGCGAAGGGAGUACUACGGUACGAACUUAGCGGCGGACGGGUGAGUAACGCGUGGACAAUCUACCCUGUAGACUGGGAUAACACCUCGAAAGGGGUGCUAAUACCGGAUAAUGUCGAGAAGCGGCAUCGCUUUUCGAAGAAAGGAGGGAAUCCGCUAUAGGAGGAGUCCGCGUCCCAUUAGCUAGUUGGUGAGGGUAACGGCCCACCAAGGCGACGAUGGGUAGCCGGCCUGAGAGGGUGAACGGCCACACUGGAACUGAGACACGGUCCAGACUCCUACGGGAGGCAGCAGUGGGGAAUAUUGUGCAAUGGGGGAAACCCUGACACAGCGACGCCGCGUGAGUGAAGAAGGCCUUCGGGUCGUAAAGCUCAAUAGUAUGGGAAGAAAGAAAUGACGGUACCAUACGAAAGCCCCGGCUAACUACGUGCCAGCAGCCGCGGUA